rnacentral:lncRNA from 1 species
GAUGGGGGUGGUCAUGCCCAGUUUGUAGGGACUUGGGGUAUUGAGAAUGUCUUAGGUAUUGAUACCACAUUGAUCUAAUCUGAGACGCUUGGCAUGAGCCAUGUUGGAUCAAAUUCUCAAUCCUUGGUUGGAUGUCAAAUCUAUUGGCAUGUAGCCUCUUGGCAUUAAACAAUUAGAUUUUGAUGAUAUGGGAAGGUUAUAAUUCUAUAGAUAAAGGGUUUCAACUGGUUCAACUGGAAAAAUUGCUCACUAUUAUCAUCAAUGACAUGAAAAAAUGAUACCCUACACCAUGUGCAUCACAUCAACGAUGCGCCACGCCAACCAAAAUUUUCAUUUCUAUAUGCACCAUUCAUUAUACAGCGCAUCUAGAAUUAUUGCACUCUCCCAUCUUAUCUUAGAUUGUUCCUGUGGUGCAC